UGUUUAUGAUCACCCGCCUAACCAGCCUACUACUUCACGCAGCUUAUUUGCGCGGUAUGGCGGUGGACGGGAUCCCGAACUGAUUCAGCCCUCUCCCAGAUUAAAACCCGCGCCGUUGCGCGGGUUUUUUU
rnacentral:sRNA from 1 species